CCUGCUGACUGCAGAAGUCUGGCAGACCCUGAGCGCAGCAACAGUCCUGCACCCUGCAGUCUAAAAACAGUGGCCUCCCAGGCUGCCUGCAGCAUUUGGGAGCAGUGAAAAAUGAAGUACUUCUCAACUUUCCUGGUUAAGUGUCUUUGUUACAAGGGUGCAGCCGGGAACAACAAAGGUUUCACUUGGUGAAAGUGGAAAGUCUAUGUGGUUUGAAAAUGCUUCCUAGCUUUAAUCCGUGCAUCUGUUCCUUAUGUGAAGACAUGCUGGCUGGCAACGGGCUGCCUCCUCACUUACAGGAUAGAGAGUUGAGGAUGAAGACAUCCUGAGUGGGCUAUGUGGCUCUCAUAUAUCUUUGGCAGAGAGAACCUUUCCUCAAUUUCUUCACUCCCUCACGGACCACCUACGGACAUAAGCUGCCACCAGCGACGCCCAGAUAUAAACACAGGUGCUCAGCACAUCUGCACUACUGCAUGGCAGGAAGAGCCAGAUGGUCGGGGUAACAGUAACACCAGGCCUCCUCUUUAGAGCCAAGUUUAUUUACAAUUUUCAAAUUGAAAUAUGCAAAUUUCAAGUAAAUAAAAAGCCCACGGGGCUCCAUUUCACUGUAAAGUUGAUCAGAGACAUAUGACUCUGCUGAAGACUUUUCACACUGAGACCUGGAGCCAAUGAGAAAUGGAGAUUGCUAGGUUCAUAUCAGGGCAGUUGCUAGGAGCACAGGAUAGCUAAAACGAAGGUAAAAAGGACAUGAGUCAAAGGGUUUCCUAAACCAAGAACCAUGGCUAAGGAAUUUCUGAAAGAGCUCGGGUUGUGUGACAGACAACCUUGCAGGCUUUCAAAUUGUCUCUGCAGCUUUAACCACGAAGGAUGCCAACACUGGUAGUAUUCGCUUAAAGCAUGUCAACUGUCACUAUAUCGUCAAAAUUUAUCAAACAUUGCUUUUUUUUUCUUUUUGCUUGGCUGUUUAGCAGAUUUUGAAGUAGAUGGCUAGAAAUAGAUCUCUCCCCACAGCUUUGGUGAACACUUGAAUCUCAGCUUUUCAUCCUACAACCAUUUUGUGAAGCACACACAAUCCCUUCUCUC
rnacentral:lncRNA from 1 species